AAGACUAUACUUUCAGGGGUCAUUUCUAUAGUUUGUUACUAGAAACGUGUCUAUUCAUGUCUUUUGACCAUUUAUUAACUGGGU
ensembl:snoRNA U3 Small nucleolar RNA U3